rnacentral:rRNA from 1 species
ACACGGAGGGCGCAAGCGUUGCUCGGAAUCACUGGGCGUAAAGUGGGUGUAGGCGGUCUAGCAAGUCAGAUGUGAAAGCCCACGGCUCAACCGUGGAAGUGCAUCUGAAACUGCUAGACUUGAGUGCCGGAGAGGGAAGUGGAAUUCCUGGUGUAGGGGUGAAAUCCGUAGAUAUCAGGAGGAACACCGGUGGCGAAGGCGACUUCCUGGACGGCCACUGACGCUGAGACCCGAAAGCGUGGGGAGCAAACAGGAUUAGAAACCCUAGUAGUCC